AUGUGGUUCAGUGACGUGGUUGAGUGGCCAAUAUUGAUGGGAGGUGGAAAGUUGGAUCUGUUGGAUCUGAAUGAUUCUGUGAGGAAUCAGGAUGCUGAGGUCGGGGGCAGACGGCUCUGUGUAGUUCUUGUACUGGACGCCCAGUGCCGCUGUUGGCCGCUGCCGAGCAGGGAUAGAAACGAGAACCAGCCGGAUGCUGCCGAGCUGCCGUUCGCUCCGAGAUCUCUAGCAGAAAUAGCCCGGCUGCGCUGGAAUACGUCCCAGUUCAAACCUUUCCAAAGGAUCUGCCGCACGGAGAACCAUCAGGGCCGAGCUCCCCUCUCUGAAGGCACAGCUCCUGGGGCAGCGGAGGAGAAUGCCAGUUUGGAUCAAAGCCCCUGGCUCAGCCACCAGUAAGGGAGGAGAAGGAGAAGCAUCUUGGUCCUCAUGAACAGAUAACUUUCAAGUGAGAUGAAAGAGAGACCCAACAUGCCCCAUAUAAGUGACUGGGCUGUGCCAGAGUUUUCUGUGGGUGGAAGGAUUCCUACCUCUUAAUCAACACUUUAUUCUUGUGUUUCUUUUGGAUUUGUGUUAAGUUUGGAGAUGGGUGCAUGCUGGGAACGCUGAGAUUUGGUAUCUAACUGUGAUAGUGCUAUUGCUCCUAUGUACCAAGUGAAGAAUUGGAUGAAAAUAUUCUGAUGCUCUAGCUUUCAUUUUCCUGCAUCUGCUUUUAUGCUUUCUUUUUGGUUGUCUGGUGGGCUCUGUAAUAAUGCAAUCUAUUCAAUACCAGGCCGUGUAGUUGUUCAUCAAAGCUGAAUGUUGCCAGAAAAGAUAUUGUUUGGUAACAUUGAGAUGCUGUGUAAUGUAGAGAUGGCUGACAUUGACACAGUGCACGCUCAACCAGGAGUUCCCUUGUUCUGCAUGCUGUGAAUAGUCCUCUUUGGGCACUGCGUUUCUUUUUUAUUCACUUGGUUCUCUUCCCCAAUGUAAAGUCAAAAUGAAGAGUUCUGUUGCGUUUCAGGGAUAUCAAGUUUAAUACUGGAGGGAAUUCAGUGCUGUGUGAUACUUCUGGUGUUUUGUGUUAUGCUUGUGCUUCCAAGAGUUGAAUUUUGGUUGACAGAGCCCAAUAAAAUCUACUGAAAAUCUACUGAUAGAAUCUUU
rnacentral:lncRNA from 1 species